rnacentral:tRNA from 3 species
GGGCGAUUAGCUCAGUUGGUUAGAGCGCCACCUUUACACGGUGGAUGUCGGGGGUUCGAAUCCCUCAUCGCCCAC